GCCUGGGUGGCUCAGUCGGUUGAGCGUCCGACUUCAGCUCAGGUCACAAUCUCACAGUUCGUGAGUUCGAGCCCCACAUCAGGCU
rnacentral:tRNA from 1 species